UACGUAGGGUGCAAGCGUUGUCCGGAAUUAUUGGGCGUAAAGAGCUCGUAGGCGGUUUGUCGCGUCUGCUGUGAAAACUCGGGGCUCAACCCCGGACUUGCAGUGGGUACGGGCAGACUAGAGUGUGGUAGGGGAGACUGGAAUUCCUGGUGUAGCGGUGAAAUGCGCAGAUAUCAGGAGGAACACCGAUGGCGAAGGCAGGUCUCUGGGCCACUACUGACGCUGAGAAGCGAAAGCAUGGGGAGCGAACAGG
rnacentral:rRNA from 1 species